GAUGAACGCUGACAGAAUGCUUAACACAUGCAAGUCAACUUGAACUUCGGUUUGGGUGGCGGACGGGUGAGUAGCGCGUAAAGAACUUGCCUCACAGAUAGGGACAACAUUUGGAAACGAAUGCUAAUACCUGAUAUUAUGAUUUUAGGGCAUCCUAGGAUUAUGAAAGCUAUAUGCGCUGUGAGAGAGCUUUGCGUCCCAUUAGCUAGUUGGAGAGGUAACGGCUCACCAAGGCGAUGAUGGGUAGCCGGCCUGAGAGGGUGAUCGGCCACAAGGGGACUGAGACACGGCCCUUACUCCUACGGGAGGCAGCAGUGGGGAAUAUUGGACAAUGGACCAAGAGUCUGAUCCAGCAAUUCUGUGUGCACGAUGAAGUUUUUCGGAAUGUAAAGUGCUUUCAGUUGGGAAGAAAAAAAUGACGGUACCAACAGAAGAAGUGACGGCUAAAUACGUG
rnacentral:rRNA from 1 species